GACGAACGCUGGCGGCGUGCUUAACACAUGCAAGUCGAACGGAAAGGCCCUGCUUUUGUGGGGUGCUCGAGUGGCGAACGGGUGAGUAACACGUGAGUAACCUGCCCUUGACUUUGGGAUAACUUCAGGAAACUGGGGCUAAUACCGGAUAGGAGCUCCUGCUGCAUGGUGGGGGUUGGAAAGUUUCGGCGGUUGGGGAUGGACUCGCGGCUUAUCAGCUUGUUGGUGGGGUAGUGGCUUACCAAGGCUUUGACGGGUAGCCGGCCUGAGAGGGUGACCGGCCACAUUGGGACUGAGAUACGGCCCAGACUCCGACGGGGGGAAGCAGGGGGGAAUAUUGCAAAAGGGGGGGAAGCCUGAUGCAGAAACGCCGGGGGGGGGAGGACGGCCUUGGGGUGGUAAACCGCUUUCGCCUGUGACGAAGCGUGGGUGACGGUAAUGGGGAAAGAAGCACCGGCUAACUACGU
rnacentral:rRNA from 1 species